GACGGAGGGUGCUAGCGUUGUUCGGAAUUACUGGGCGUAAAGGGCGCGUAGGCGGCCGUUUGCGUCGGAUGUGAAAGCCCGGGGCUCAACCCCGGAACGGCAUCCGAUACGGGACGGCUGGAGACCGGGAGAGGAGGGUGGAAUAGCCAGUGUAGAGGUGAAAUGCGCAGAUAUCAGGAGGAACACCGGUGGCGAAGGCGGGUCUCUGGGCCGAUACUGACGCUGAGGUGCGAAAGCGUGGGGAGCAAACAGG
rnacentral:rRNA from 1 species